rnacentral:rRNA from 1 species
GAUGAACGCUGGCGGCGUGCCUAAUACAUGCAAGUCGAGCGAGAAUGAAGCGAAUUGAGAUUCGUCGAUAUAAGCUUCAGGAAAGCGGCGGACGGGUGAGUAACGCGUAGGCAACCUGCCCUUAGCAGAGGGAUAGCCAUUGGAAACGAUGAUUAAAACCUCAUAAUGCAGUGUCGUCACAUGUUGACGGUGCCAAAGAUUUAUCGGCUAAGGAUGGGCCUGCGACUGAUUAACUAGUUGGUGAGGUAACGGCUCACCAAGGUGACGAUCAGUAGCCGACCUGAGAGGGUGAUCGGACACAUUGGAACUGAGACACGGUCCAAACUUCUACGGAAGGCAGCAGUAAGGAAUCUUGCACAAUGGGGGAAACCCUGAUGCAGCAACGCCGCGUGAACGAUGAAGGCCUUCGGGUUGUAAAGUUCUGAUCUUAGGGAAGAAGAAGUGACGGUACCUAAGGAGAAAGCCCCGGCUAACUACGUGCCAGCCGCCGCAGUAAUAC